rnacentral:rRNA from 1 species
ACGGAGGCAGCAGUGGGGGAUAUUGCACAAUGGGGGAAACCCUGAUGCAGCGACGCCGCGUGAGUGAUGAAGUAUUUCGGUAUGUAAAGCUCUAUCAGCAGGGAAGAAAAUGACGGUACCUGACUAAGAAGCACCGGCUAAAUACGUGCCAGCAGCCGCGGUAAUACGUAUGGUGCAAGCGUUAUCCGGAUUUACUGGGUGUAAAGGGAGCGUAGACGGAUGGCUAAGUCUGAUGUGAAAGGUGAGGGCUCAACCCUUAAACUGCAUUGGAAACUGGUCAUCUAGAGUGUCGGAGAGGUAAGUGGAAUUCCUAGUGUAGCGGUGAAAUGCGUAGAUAUUAGGAGGAACACCAGUGGCGAAGGCGGCUUACUGGACGAUAACUGACGUUGAGGCUCGAAAGCGUGGGGAGCAAACAGGAUUAGAUACCCUGGUA